ensembl:lncRNA
CUUGCAUGAUGAUCACUUGCAUGAUGAUCACUUGCAUGAUGAGCACUUGCAUGAUGAGCACUUGCAUGAUGAGCACUUGCAUGACGAAUGUAGGACCAAAAGUAAUGGUAAAAAUGUGUUAUAUAUGUCAGAUAUGUAUAAAUACAAUAUGGGUACAAAUGAAAAUAUUAGUAAAAGUUACAGAGAUAGUAGUAUGAAUAGAACAUUAGUUAAUGUCGAAACAGAAAAUAAGUCAGUAGGAAAUAUUGAUGUAACAGAAAAAAUAGGUGUGAUAAAAGAAAAUAAAACAUCAGGUGUUAAUAUUAUAUAUGAUGUAAAGAAAGAUAUGAACCAAAAUAAGUAUAUGCGGAAUAGUCAAGAAGAAGAAAAAAAACAAAUAGUAAUAUCGAAAUAAAUAAUAACACUGAUAUUUAUAAUAAAAAAACGUCUAUUGAUAGAAAUAAUUUUUUAAAAAUAGAGGACUCAGGACAUGGAACUGGAAGUGGAACUGGAAGUGGAAACAAAAGUGGAACUGGAAGUGGAAACANNNNNNNNNNAAGUGGAACUGGAAGUGGAAACAAAAGUGGAACUGGAAGUGGAAACAAAAGUGGAAACAAAAGUGGAAGCAGAAGUGGAAGCGGAAGUGGAAGUGGUCUUAAACGAGCAAAUAAUUCAUUAAAUAAUGUUAUGGAUAACAAUAUAACAGGUAUAAAUCAGUUUGGAAAUACUGAUAUAAAUGAUAAUCGUACCAAAAUAAAUAAUACAGAUGAUAAGAACAGUUAUUUAUAUGGUAAUACAAAAUAUAAAGAGAUGAUGAUGGGUCUAUCUGACAAAUAUAAAAAUGGGUAUAAUAACAAUAUGGGAGAUAUAAAAGAAAUAAAUGGUAAAAAUGUAGUUAAAGAAGAGGAUAAGUUGUACUCUUCUGAUGACUAUGGAGGUGACAAAAAUAUAGCAAAUGUUUCAAUCGUUUCUAAAAAGGUAACAAAUGUAGAAACAGACAGAAGUAAUUAUGUACAUAUGUACAAAAAUGAAAAAAAUAUGGACAGUCAUAAAAAUAUGAAUGAACAAGAUAUUAGUGGUAAUAAUAAUAUACAUAACUCGAAGAAGGAUAUGCAAUUUUUAGUACAUGCAUAUAGCAAUACUACUAGUGAUAAUAAUUUGUAUGGAAAAACAGAUGAUAGUGCAGAAAGUACACCAAAAAAAUAUGAACAUUCAUUUUUUUAUGAUUAUAAAAAUGAAUUGACUAAUGAUUCUAAAAUACAUGAUAAAAAAAUAAAAAAAAACAAAAAAAUAGGGAUGUAUAAAUUAUGUUUACGUAAUAUAAUUUAUAUCAUAAAAAUAAUGUAUUAUAUUACAAGAGGGGAAUUUUUAUUUAUUGAUAAAUUAUACACUAUUUUUAAGGAAAAUUUAAAAAAUAAACAAGAUGGAAGUAGUAAAAAUAAUACGAUUAAAUCUAAAAUUGAAAAGGAAAAUGUCAUAAUCAAUAAAGACAAUAAUAAAGACAAUAAUAAAGACAAUAAUAAAGACAAUAAUAAAGACAUUAAUAAAGACAUUAAUAAAGACAUUAAUAAAAACAAUAAUAAAGACAAUAGUAAUAUUAAAAAAAAGAUGAAAAAAAAAAAAAAAAAAAAAAAAGAGAAAAAAAAAAAAAAAAAAAAAAAAAAAAAAAAAAAAAAAAAAAAAAAAGAAAAGAUGAAGAAUUAA